CAUAUCUCACAAACUUUUUGUGUUUUGUAAUUUUAGGUGAAGAGCUUCUUUCAGACUCCUUCCCCUACAAGGAACUAUUGAAUGGGUUCCUAUGAGAAGUUGAAGAAAAGUUAUGGAUAAUGAAAACAAUGCUCCUUCGUUAUUAAAGUCGAUUGAGGACUAUGAUCCUAUAUUUUUCGAAUUGUUCGUCGACCAAAAACAGUUAUGGAUCAUGAAAACAACGCUCCUUCGUUGUUAAAGUUGAUUGAGAACUAUGAUCCUAUAUUUUUGGAAAUACCAUAUGAUUUUGCAACCUUAUUGUGGGGAGAACAACUUCCAUAUGUCAAUGUCUUAAAAUUAGUGAUGAUGAUUUAUCGUGAGUCAUUGAGUUAUAAUUUUUGUAUUUAGUUAGUUGUUAAUUCUUUAAAGAUGCCUUUGAUUUCAAUUUUAAAGUUGUUUUUGUUUCUAAACAGAUUACUGUUGUUAAAGAUUAUUUUUGUAUUCGGAAUUA